GGGGGGAGGCCGGAUCCUGGGCUGUGUCCCGGCGCCCUGUGCUCCGGAGCCUGCGCUGUUGGAUUCGCGCUCUGGCAGCCGCCUCCGCAGAGCCCCCU
rnacentral:pre_miRNA from 1 species